CUGGUUGAUCCUGCCAGUAGUCAUAUGCUUGUCUCAAAGAUUAAGCCAUGCAUGUCUAAGUAUAAGCUGCUUAUACUGUGAAACUGCGAAUGGCUCAUUAAAUCAGUUAUAGUUUAUUUGAUGGUACCUUACUACUCGGAUAACCGUAAGAAAUUUAGAGCUAAUACGUGCGUAAAUCCCGACUUCUGGAAGGGACGUAUAUAUUAGAUAAAAGGCCGACCGGGCUCUGCCCGACCCGCGGUGAAUCAUGAUAUCUUCACGAAGCGCAUGGCCUUGUGCCGGCGCUGUUCCAUUCAAAUUU
rnacentral:rRNA from 1 species